AUGUAUUAAAUGGCUUAUUGAAAAGUUUUAAAUCUCAAAAUUAUUUAAAAUUAAUCAAUUUUAAAAGCCAAAAAUGAAAUGGUAUAUGUAGUACAAGUAUAAGAGCUAGCAAAUAUUCCUUUUCCACUCAUCCGGAAAACCAGAUUUGCUAAGCCUCCUCUCUGCCUCAAAACCGGAUAACCGGUUCUUAAAAUCCGGAAAGCCGAAUUCAAGAGGCAACUUUCUGCCUCAAACCGGACUACCGGUUAUCAAAACCGGAAAGCCGGUUUCACGUGGAACAUUGCUGGAACCAACCGGAAUUCCGGCUCAGCUCAUCCGGCAAUCCGUUUUCAAUGUUUCAAGCUUCUGGUCACAACCGGAAUUCCGGUUAGUGCAAACCGGAAAUCCGGUUUCGGGGGUUAUUUCACACUGUUCUUCCUCCUUCUUCAUUCGGCAUUCCGGUUCUUGCUCUCUCUCUAAAAACCGGUUCCUCUCUCUCAUUUUUCAUUCCAAAAUCCAUCAUUAUCAUUCAAUCCAAAUUGAUUCUUAUAAAUUAUUCCACAUCAAUUCUUGUGUCUAAAAUCAUUUUAAUUGAUUCAAACUUACUCAUUUUACUCAAUAUCUUGAAAAUUUGAAUUUGUGCAUUUUGAGUAUUUCAAA
rnacentral:lncRNA from 1 species